GAUGAACGCUGGCGGCGUGCCUAAUACGUGCAAGUCGAGCGAACAGAUAAGGAGCUUGCUCCUUUGACGUUAGCGGCGGACGGGUGAGUAACACGUGGGUAACCUACCUAUAAGACUGGGAUAACUUCGGGAAACCGGAGCUAAUACCGGAUAAUAUUUCGAACCGCAUGGUUCGAUAGUGGAAGAUGGUUUUGCUAUCACUUAUAGAUGGACCCGCGCCGUAUUAGCUAGUUGGUAAGGUAACGGCUUACCAAGGCGACGAUACGUAGCCGACCUGAGAGGGUGAUCGGCCACACUGGAACUGAGACACGGUCCAGACUCCUACGGGAGGCAGCAGUAGGGAAUCUUCCGCAAUGGGCGAAAGCCUGACGGAGCAACGCCGCGUGAGUGAUGAAGGUCUUCGGAUCGUAAAACUCUGUUAUUAGGGAAGAACAUACGUGUAAGUAACUGUGCACGUCUUGACGGUACCUAAUCAGAAAGCCACGGCUAACUACGUG
rnacentral:rRNA from 1 species